rnacentral:rRNA from 1 species
GCUUACGGCAAUAUCACAUUGAAUACAUCGAUUCUCGUCCGAUCAUCGAAGUUAAGCAACGUCGAGCCUAGUAAGUACUUUGAUGACCGCUUGGGAAACCUAGGUGCUAUAAGCA